rnacentral:rRNA from 1 species
GACGAACGCUGGCGGCGUGCCUAACACAUGCAAGUCGAACGGAAAGGCUAUGCUUUAGUUGGCUGCACGAUAGGCGAAGGGGUGCGUAAGACGGGAGUACCCUGCCCUUGCCUUUGGGAUAACUUCAGGAAACUGGGGCUAAUAAUAGAUAAGAGCUCCUGAUGCAUGGUGGUGGUUGGAAAUUUUCGGAGGUUGGGGAUGGAAUCGCGGCCUAUCAGCUCGUUGGUGGGGUAGUGGCUUACCAAGGUGUUGGCGGGUAGCCGGCCUGAGAGGUUGACCGGCCACAUUGGGACUGAGGUAGCAGCCGUACGGCUACUUGAGGCAGCAGUGGAGAACAUAGCACGAUGCGCCGAAGCCGGAUGCAGCAACGUCGCGUGCGGGAUGACUGCUUUCAGGGUGUAAACCGCGUUCGCCUGGGACGUACCGUGUGUGACGGUAACUUAUAAAGAAGCACCGGCUAACUACGUG